UACGUAGGGGGCAAGCGUUAUCCGGAUUUACUGGGCGUAAAGCGUGCGCAGGCGGUUCGUUAAGUCUGAUGUGAAAGCCCCGGGCUCAACCUGGGAAUGGCAUUGGAUACUGGCGGGCUGGAGUGUGGCAGAGGGGGGUGGAAUUCCGCGUGUAGCAGUGAAAUGCGUAGAGAUGCGGAGGAACACCGAUGGCGAAGGCAGCCCCCUGGGCUGACACUGACGCUCAGGCACGAAAGCGUGGGGAGCAAACAGG
rnacentral:rRNA from 1 species